rnacentral:rRNA from 1 species
AUAUUGGACAAUGGGCGCAAGCCUGAUCCAGCCAUGCCGCGUGUGUGAUGAAGGCCUUAGGGUUGUAAAGCACUUUCGCCGGUGAAGAUAAUGACGGUAACCGGAGAAGAAGCCCCGGCUAACUUCGUGCCAGCAGCCGCGGUAAUACGAAGGGGGCAAGCGUUGCUCGGAAUCACUGGGCGUAAAGCGUACGUAGGCGGGUCGUUAAGUCAGGGGUGAAAUCCUGGAGCUCAACUCCAGAACUGCCCUUGAUACUGGCGAUCUUGAGUUCGAGAGAGGUUGGUGGAACUGCGAGUGUAGAGGUGAAAUUCGUAGAUAUUCGCAAGAACACCAGUGGCGAAGGCGGCCAACUGGCUCGAUACUGACGCUGAGGUACGAAAGCGUGGGGAGCAAACAGGAUUAGAUACCCUGGUAGUCCACGCCGUAAACGAUGGAUGCUAGCCGUUAGGCAGCUUGCUGCUUAGUGGCGCAGCUAACGCAUUAAGCAUCCCGCCUGGG